UGCAGUCGAACGGCAGCGCGGGGCAACCUGGCGGCGAGUGGCGAACGGGUGAGCCCUAUAUCGGAACGUACCCUGGAGUGGGGGAUAACGUAGCGAAAGUUACGCUAAUACCGCAUACGAUCUAAGGAUGAAAGUGGGGGAUUCGCAAGAACCUCAUGCUCCUGGAGCGGCCGAUAUCUGAUUAGCUAGUUGGUGGGGUAAAGGCCUACCAAGGCAUCGAUCAGUAGCUGGUCUGAGAGGACGACCAGCCACACUGGAACUGAGACACGGUCCAGACUCCUACGGGAGGCAGCAGUGGGGAAUUUUGGACAAUGGGCGAAAGCCUGAUCCAGCAAUGCCGCGUGAGUGAAGAAGGCCUUCGGGUUGUAAAGCUCUUUUGUCAGGGAAGAAACGGUGAGGGCUAAUAUCCCUUGCUAAUGACGGUACCUGAAGAAUAAGCACCGGCUAACUACGUGCCAGCAGCCGCGGUAAUACGUAGGGUGCAAGCGUUAAUCGGAAUUACUGGGCGUAAAGCGUGCGCAGGCGGUUUUGUAAGUCUGUCGUGAAAUCCCCGGGCUCAACCUGGGAAUUGCGAUGGAGACUGCAAGGCUAGAGUCUGGCAGAGGGGGGUAGAAUUCCACGUGUAGCAGUGAAAUGCGUAGAGAUGUGGAGGAACACCGAUGGCGAAGGCAGCCCCCUGGGUCAAGAUUGACGCUCAUGCACGAAAGCGUGGGGAGCAAACAGGAUUAGAUACCCUGGUAGUCCACGCCCUAAACGAUGUCUACUAGUUGUCGGGUUUUAAUUAACUUGGUAACGCAGCUAACGCGUGAAGUAGACCGCCUGGGGAGUACGGUCGCAAGAUUAAACUCAAAGGAAUUGACGGGGA
rnacentral:rRNA from 1 species